rnacentral:rRNA from 1 species
UACGUAGGGUGCAAGCGUUGUCCGGAAUUAUUGGGCGUAAAGGGCUCGUAGGCGGUCCAUCGCGUCGGGAGUGAAAAGCUGGGGCUCAACCCCAGUCCUGCUUCCGAUACGGGUGGACUAGAGGUAUGCAGGGGAGAACGGAAUUCCUGGUGUAGCGGUGAAAUGCGCAGAUAUCAGGAGGAACACCAGCGGCGAAGGCGCUGCUCUGGGCCGGUACUGACGCUGAGGAGCGAAAGCGUGGGGAGCGAACAGG